CUUCGCUCCGCUUGUGUCUUACUUGCAGCAACAGAGGGCUGAGCAAAAUGCAGUAGAACAGGGACAGAGACAGUGCUGGCAAUCAUCUCGAUGCAGCCUGCCGAAUGUAGGGGGGUGAGGGGAUGCAGCAAAGCAAGAUUAAUAACCUUGCCAUAAUCCCGGGCACCCUGGAAGGAGACACCUCUGGUGACUGACCUGCUCCUGUCGUGAUUAAUCUGGCUGGGAGAGAGUGAGCCGGAAUAUCCACAAGGUCUAGGGCUUGGAGGGGUGGGGGCCCUGCUUUGGACGUUCCAUGCAUUCUCCACCCAUCUGAGAAGGUAGCAGUGAGCCACACCAUCUGCGGCACAAGGCAGCGAUUGGAGACUACCUCUGACAGUUUGCACUACAGUGGUUUGUGUGUUUGUGUCUGUGUGUCUGUGUGUGCGUGCGCCCCCUGUGAGUGUGUGGAUGUGUGUGGAUGAGAGGGAAAGGGGAAGAGAGAGAGAGAGAGAGAGAGAGCGAGCAGGUACAGAGGUAGAGUAGUAGAGUGUACAGUGAGACGUUUCUACAGAGUGAAAACAUUACCCAAGCCCCUGAAGCUCACCUUCUGGUCCCUCUGUUUCCACCUGUCCUCACUUCCUUUCUUCUUGUUUGCCAUCAUCUUUGAUGAGUUUUUGGACUUACUUUUUGGGGGUCGUCUCUUGGGUACAUUUUUCUGGAAGAACAGAUCAAUGGAAGCUUUGAAAACUAAUUGUUUUUCUCCCCUGUGACUUUUCAAACAAAAAGAAAGAGGAAGAAAGAAAAAGAUAAAGAAGGAAAGUAGGGGGGAAAAAAGGACAUGUAAUAGCUGGAAACAUUUAAAUUUGCCUUGGAGAAGUUUGGGGCCCCAUAAGGAAGUACUAUUGCUGUUGUGUAAAAAUUUCUCCAGGGAAAACUUCUUAACGAUCUGAGCCAUCCAAAGUGGAAUGGUCUGCCACAGAAGGUGAUGGGUGCCCUCUCUUUGGAGAUACUUGAACUAAAACUGGAUGGCUACUGCUUAGAAAUGAUGUUUUCUAUUGCAAGUAUUCAAGAUCACACAGAAACAGUAGAACCAAACAAGUUGGCGCAUCACCUCAUACUCUAAAUGGUUUAUUGGCAGAGCAGAGAAGCCCUAUGGGAUUUAAUAAUAUGGAAACAUCCUGAACUUACAGGAGAAACACAGGGAAAUAUCUGUGUACAGAACACCUCCCUAUGGAUGAUUUACUUCAGGUAAGGGAAAAGUGUCAUUUACUUACAAUUAUUCAAAGAUGUGUUGAUGACUGGGUGCUUAAUUAGAUCUCUGUAAUUAUGAUAUUCAUCGUUCUAUGCUAACAGUUCUUCUUACAUCCUGAAUGCAAACUUGCACAGGUUGCUUAUAGCUUAAUAUCUCACCUCCUCAUCUCUUAAAUUAUGGCUUCAUUUCCUUGCAAAGGAAAGGUGAGAAAAAAAGAGAAAAAUACCAUCUCAUGAAAGUUUUAACAAAUGUGAUUUAUGUAGAAGGGUGGGAGUCAAACUGUUCCUCAAGCAGAUGUUUGAUGGCCCAGGAGUUGAAAGAGUGGCAGAUUGGACUGCCCAGGAUUUCUUAGCAUGAAAAGGUGCAUGGAGUUAUCUCCUCAGCUUCUGAAACCAAAAUACCAGUUGGGUUAUUAAUAUAGAACAAAGUAUUUAGGAAAAAUAGCUGGCUCCCUCUCCCCAUUCCCUUUUGAAAAUCUGGCACCAUUGGGCAGCUGAAUGUGAUGACAAGAGAAAGAUGUCUUCUGUUGAACUGCCAGGGGAUCUGGGCUAAUCAGAAUGAAUUAUCAGGGGAGAAAUUUAAUUCCAAUAAAGCUACAGGGGCUAUCUAUGAGCCCAGAACUCUGGCUGUGCCAUACUCUCUGGUAUGUGUACUCUACUACCAAACUCUAAGGCAAGUGAGCUUCUGUUUCUUUAGGACAUACUCAAGCUUCUGAAAUGGAAAUGAUAAGUUCUGUUUCACUGUGUUUGCUGCUUCUUAUGUUUAAACCAAAUGUUCAGGAGACUAUUGUCAA